ensembl:lncRNA
GGGGGGAGCCAUGCUAACACCGAGCUAAGCUAAGCUAAGCUAAGCUAAGCUAAGCGAAGACAGAGCGGAGUUCGUGCAGUCAAUAAACUUUAACUAAAGUGCGUGUGUACUUCUUUGUUAAAACCAACCACAGUAAAAGAUAACACAAAGGACGGCGGUUAAAGUAAAUCCGCAACACCAAACACCGACAGCUGAACGAGCAGCAGGACGGAGCAGAAACAGGAAGUGACGCAAUACGUUACCGUCCGUGGGACAGACUAGAAUGACCCAGGGAGCCAAAGGGAAUAAGGGAAGCAAAGGACACAAGUCUGUCCUCACUGGACAACAGUAGGUUGAAGUUUACACACAUAACAGCUCUGUUAGGGAGUGAUGGCGGAGGAGAACCCACAUCUACCUCUUUGUCAUAACACCGGACUUUGGCAGGAUGUGUGUUCGGGGCGCCGCAGUGGUGUGUGUCAGUACUGCAUGGAGCCUCUGCCAGUGCUGUCCCAAGACUGGCUGCGGCUGAGGAGGAGGUGCAGCUGUAGCUGGAAGACGUGAACCCCUACAACGCAGGAACUUCAGGGAUGCCAGUUCACCAUGGUACAGUGCUGUGUCUGGUCGUGCUGCUGAUAAGUGCUUGGGCCGCCGUGCUCAUUGUGUUGGGUAAGCCCUUCCUGGCAAUCGCAGUGUUUGCAGGCGGAAUACUCUUCGGUCUCACAGGGCUGGUCACUAGACUCUGCAUGAAGAAACAUCAGCUGGCAGCGUCAGGACACCCGGUCCUGCAACCCCGCACGGGCACACGCCUCAACCCACAGCAGGCUGUAACUAUACAAAGGAGGUUGGACCAAAUUCGUCGGGAGAUCUCAACAGAAUCUGUCAGAGUACCAGAACCUGAACCCUCCCUGCCAUCCACCCCACCACCCUGGAUCAUGGAGCCCCCUCCAUCCUAUGACACAGUGAUGAAGAGCCAGGAGCACAGAGAGAACCUGGAGGAAACCAGCGGUGCUAUUAGUGAACAUCAAUGCAACAGGCCUCUCACGUGCCUUAAGACAAACACACUGAACCCUGACACAGACCAAACAAAGGAGGAAGAGACUGCAGCUGCUAAGAAGACUUCAUAUUAAUACAGACGAGGAUCCAGAGGGGCCUCAGUGUUUAUUAAAUACAUGUGUUGAGAGUGAUUGUAAAGAGAAUUGAAACGAUUACUACUAAUGCAGCUGUUCCUGAGACUAACACUAUGUAACUUACAGCAAAGUUGAUGGAUUCCUGUCAGCAGACAGGCUGCGAGUCUCCUGUAGACACAUAAUGAGGACGUUUUAUUGGCCUGCUUUAAUUUAUGUGACCUACUACUGUGGCAGCUCGGCACUCUUCUUCAAACACAAGAACUCUCCACACGCUCGUCUGUAGCCUGUUCCUUUGCAAAAUGCCUUAACCUGUGAGGACAGUAUUAGCUUUGUAUCCACUGUUUGCAGAAUGUCCACUGUUUUGAUGUUAUUAUAAAACCCGGUUAUUGCACAGCUGCAGAGCUCUGUGGGUGGUGUCAAACUAAAGGGAUGCAUUGUUUAUGUAAAAGAAGGAAGCACCAGAAAGACAAGACAGACAUGUGCACAUAAAGACUCACUUAUCUGUUCACAAGCUGACUCCUUUUUGCCAGCAGUUUUAUGCAAGGUGACCUAUCAGCUACACACACACUCAC